rfam:Brassica oleracea var. oleracea cultivar TO1000 chromosome C3, whole genome shotgun sequence
GGAAGUUAAGAAACUGUUUCUUAACUUUUAACUAAAAAACUAAAAACCGAUUCUUAAAUAAGGACUUCAAGAACCGGUUUUUAUCCAUUUUAGUUAAAAGUUAAGAAACAGUUUCUUAAUUUCC